rnacentral:rRNA from 1 species
AUUGAACGCUGGCGGCAGGCCUAACACAUGCAAGUCGAACGAGUGGCGGACGGGUGGGUAAUGUCUGGGCCACUGCCUGAUGGAGGGGGAUAACUACUGGAAACUGUAGCUACUACCGCAUACCAUCGGAUGUGCCCAGUUUGGAUUAGCUAGUAGGUGGGGUAAAGGCUCACCUAGGCGACGAUCCCUAGCUGGUCUGAGAGGAUGACCAGCCACACUGGAACUGAGACACGGUCCAGACUCCUACGGGAGGCAGCAGUGGGGAAUAUUGGACAAUGGGCGCAAGCCUGAUGCAGCCAUGCCGCGUGUAUGAAGAAGGCCUUCGGGUUGUAAAGUACUUUCAGCGGGGAGGCGUUACCAGCAGAAGAAGCACCGGCUAACUCCGUGCCAGCCGCCGCGGUAAUUC